CUGCUAUAAUACCCUAAAUUGAAACAUAGGCCCAUUAAAACCGCCUCUAAAAAUUCUACUGUAAAUGUUGAAACGGACAGGUCUCCUAUAUGGCACUGUAGCUUCAUAAAAUAGUGCCAAAGACAUACAAUGGGGGUAUCGUUUUACUCAGCAGAAGUAACUGAACACAAAAUAAAGCUUUGUACAGGAAUAGCACACACCAACUUUAC